GUCUCGACAGCUAGCUCAAUGGGGAGAGCGGUGGGCUAGAAACCCGAAUAUACGAGUUUGAAUCCCGCUCGCGAGACA